rnacentral:rRNA from 1 species
AGAGUUUGAUCCUGGCUCAGGACGAACGCUGGCGGCGUGCUUAACACAUGCAAGUCGAACGGAAAGGCCCUGCUUUUGUGGGGUGCUCGAGUGGCGAACGGGUGAGUAACACGUGAGUAACCUGCCCUUGACUUUGGGAUAACUUCAGGAAACUGGGGCUAAUACCGGAUAGGAGCUCCUGCUGCAUGGUGGGGGUUGGAAAGUUUCGGCGGUUGGGGAUGGACUCGCGGCUUAUCAGCUUGUUGGUGGGGUAGUGGCUUACCAAGGCUUUGACGGGUAGCCGGCCUGAGAGGGUGACCGGCCACAUUGGGACUGAGAUACGGCCCAGACUCCUACGGGAGGCAGCAGUGGGGAAUAUUGCACAAUGGGCGGAAGCCUGAUGCAGCAACGCCGCGUGCGGGAUGACGGCCUUCGGGUUGUAAACCGCUUUCGCCUGUGACGAAGCGUGAGUGACGGUAAUGGGUAAAGAAGCACCGGCUAACUACGUGCCAGCAGCCGCGGUGAUACGUAGGGUGCGAGCGUUGUCCGGAUUUAUUGGGCGUAAAGGGCUCGUAGGUGGUUGAUCGCGUCGGAAGUGUAAUCUUGGGGCUUAACCCUGAGCGUGCUUUCGAUACGGGUUGACUUGAGGAAGGUAGGGGAGAAUGGAAUUCCUGGUGGAGCGGUGGAAUGCGCAGAUAUCAGGAGGAACACCAGUGGCGAAGGCGGUUCUCUGGGCCUUUCCUGACGCUGAGGAGCGAAAGCGUGGGGAGCGAACAGGCUUAGAUACCCUGGUAGUCCACGCUGUAAACGGUGGGUACUAGGUGU